rnacentral:rRNA from 1 species
UAUUGCUCUUAAACGAGGAAUCCCUAGUAAGCACAGUCAUUAGCUUGUGCUGAUUACGUCCCUGCUGUACACACCGCGUCGCUACUACCGAUUGAAUGGCUUAGUGAGGCCUUCGGAUUGAGGUUUGGAGACUGGCAACAGACUCCGGAGAAGUUGGUCACUUGGUCAUUUAGAGGAAGUAGUCGUACAGGUCCGUAGGUGAACCUGCGGAAGGAUCAUUACCAAUAGCGAACCUGAUCUGAUCAUGGUCUCGCGACUGUAUACACUCUUAUUAUAUGAAUCUGUAUACAUAGAUCACUUUCAACAACGGAUCUCUUGGCUCUCGCAUCGAUGAAGAACGUAGCGAAGUGCGAUAAGUAAUGUGAAUUGCAGAAUUCCGUGAAUCAUCGAAUCUUUGAACGCAAAUUGCACUCUCUGGCAUUCCGGAGAGUAUGCCUGUUUGAGGGUCAGUAUAAUCAAAAUCGGAGCGAUGCUUUUUGGGUGACGCACCGGAGUUUGGGUCAUCUUAACUCUUUUUUUUAAGAGACCUAAAAUUAACAUUCUUUUUUGCUCACUUUGAGACGUACAUAAUUUUUUUUUAUUCGUCUACCCUGGUGGCAAAAAUUUUAUUAGAUCGUGAAUCACGUAUAGUGGUCUCGCGUCUAUAAUUAUCAUGAUUUGACCUCAAAUCAGGUAAGAAUACCCGCUGAACUUAAGCAUAUCAAUAAGCGGAGGAAAAGAAAAUAACAAUGAUUCCCCUAGUAACUGCGAGUGAAGAGGGACAAGCUCAAAUUUUAAAUCCGUCGGGUUUCACCUGACCGAGUUGUAAUUUGAAGAGGCGUUUUCCGCGUUUUUGAUCAGUCCAGUCCUUUGGGAUAGGGCAUCAUGCAGGGUGAGAAUCCCGUUCGGCUGAUCAGAUUCGCUCUACGAUACGUCAUCUAGAGUCAAGUGUUUGGGAUGCAGCUAAAUGCAGUAAUUUCUCUUAUGCUAAUACCGGCGAGAGACGAUAGCGACAGGUACGUGAGGCAUGAUGAAAGACUGAAAGAAAGUUAACGUACUGACUGUGAUGAAACGAUGAGUAGUCGUACGCGGUAAUCAGCCUUUCGGCGUGAUUAUGUGGAGCGUGAGGAGUUAAACGCCUUCAUGGCCUGCAUAUUCGUGUUCUUUGGGUGUACUUACCCGCAUGGUAGGUUAACAUCAAUUUCGAACGUCAUAAAAUGGUUGGAGGAAUGUAGCUUCGAUCUCGUAUUGAAGUGUUAUAGACUCCGGCAGAUGUGAUGAUCGGGAUUGAGGAUUGCAACGGAUACCCUUCGGGGCUACCCGUCUGAUCUCUGAAAGUUGCUCUGGUGCCGAAAGCUCGCUUACGGUCAUCAAAGUUGACGUUCAACAGGUUAGAACGGGAUAAAUUCGUUAAGGAUGUUGACGUAAUGGCUUUAAACGACCCGUCUUGAAACACGGACCAAGGAGUCUAACAUAUAUGCGAGUGUUC